AUUAAGGUACCGGCAUCUUGUAUACAACACCAUAUAAGCGACCUCUUGCAGUAUGAGGAGGGAGCUGACGUGACAUUCAAGGUUGGAGAUGACACAUUUGUUGCUCACCGGUGCGUGCUUGCAGCUCCGUCUGCGGUCUUCAGAGCAGAGCUAUUUGGCCCCAUGAAAGAGGGCACAAUAGGAGGUGUCAUCCAUAUAGAAGACAUGGAAGCAAACGUGUUUAAGGCAUUGCUUAGCUUUAUUUACACCGAUUCACUGCCUAAGAUGGCGGAUGAAAGGGAAGACCAAGAAGUGUUGUGGCUACAACACAUGCUUGAAGCGGCGGAUAGAUAUGAUCUUCCGAGGCUGAAAGUACUUUGUGAAGAGAAGUUGUGCCAACACAUAGAUGUGGGCUCGGUGACUACUAUUCUUACUCUAGCCGAGCAACAUAACUGUUCUGGAUUGAAGGAGGUAUGCUUUGAGUUUGUCAAGACUCCUGCUAAUUUGAAGAAGAUAGUUGCGGUUGACGGCUUGGAGGACAUAACAAGAACAUGCCCCUCUCUCUUAAAAAAGCUCAUUGCCAAGCUUGUGGGCCUUUAA
rnacentral:rRNA from 1 species